GAUGAACGCUGGCGGCGUGCCUAAUACAUGCAAGUCGAGCGAACGGACGAGAAGCUUGCUUCUCUGAUGUUAGCGGCGGACGGGUGAGUAACAUGUGGAUAACCUACCUAUAAGACUGGGAUAACUUCGGGAAACCGGAGCUAAUACCGGAUAAUAUUUUGAACCGCAUGGUUCAAAAGUGAAAGACGGUCUUGCUUUCACUUAUAGAUGGAUCCGCGCUGCAUUAGCUAGUUGGUAAGGUAACGGCUUACCAAGGCAACGAUGCAUAGCCGACCUGAGAGGGUGAUCGGCCACACUGGAACUGAGACACGGUCCAGACUCCUACGGGAGGCAGCAGUAGGGAAUCUUCCGCAAUGGGCGAAAGCCUGACGGAGCAACGCCGCGUGAGUGAUGAAGGUCUUCGGAUCGUAAAACUCUGUUAUUAGGGAAGAACAUAUGUGUAAGUAACUGUGCACAUCUUGACGGUACCUAAUCAGAAAGCCACGGCUAACUACGUG
rnacentral:rRNA from 1 species